UACGUAGGGGGCAAGCGUUGUCCGGAAUCAUUGGGCGUAAAGAGCGUGUAGGCGGCCCGGUAAGUCCGCUGUGAAAGUCCAGGGCUCAACCCUGGGAUGCCGGUGGAUACUGUCGGGCUCGAGUCCGGAAGAGGAGUGUGGAAUUCCUGGUGUAGCGGUGAAAUGCGCAGAUAUCAGGAGGAACACCAAUGGCGAAGGCAGCACUCUGGGACGUGACUGACGCUGAGACGCGAAAGCGUGGGGAGCAAACA
rnacentral:rRNA from 1 species